AGAGGGGCAGAGACUCCAGACUAUACAGCUGCCCAGCACCCAGGUGCUCCCUUGCGUGAGAGGAGGUGACUGUUGCCAUCACAGGGCCGACUGAAGCAGACAACAUGGACAGGGAGAUCUGCGACCGUGGGAACAGGACUUCCCAAAUGUCACGGUGGGUCCAGGAAGCACAAGCAGUGAGAUUCCUUAUACGGAGUCUGAAGAAACAGAUGUUUUUCUCCUGACCAGCGCCUUUUAGGGAAAAGCAAGUAGAAGCAUGAACUGGGCUGCCUCUUCUACUCUCGUUAAGUCUCAGUGCUGGACUUAGGUUUACUUUUUGUUUGUUGCCAUGCUGAGGAUGGAACCCAGGCCUUUCCCAUGCUAGGCAAGAGCUCUACCAACAGUAUGUCCCCAGCCAAGGACUUAGGAACAGAAGCUCUGCCUUGUCUGGUUUUGCAGCUAUUCUCUCAUUCUCCCCUCUACCCUUAGGGCCAGUGGAAGACCUGCCAGCAGGAAGGCCCCAUGACCUGGCUGGCUAGAGACAACGCACCCUCUGACCCCACGAGGCAGCUGCACAAGCCCAAGGAACCUGCCAGCUCAGCCUUGAGACAGGAUUUCAGGUCCUGGCCUCACCAGCCUCCACAGGCAGGCAGAGCAAGCUGUCUUUUGGCUACCUUCCCUGCUGGAAGACAUGCAGCUAUAAUUGUUCAGUGCUCCACAGCCAACAGUACCAGAGAUCAGCAAGCCACAGACCAACCCUCAAAAAUGCACGGAGGAGGGCCAGGGACUGAGCUCAGUGGCACCGCUCCUGCCUUACAAGAACAAGGUCCUGAGUUCACUACCCAGUACCAAAAAAAAACAAAAAAAAAAUGCAUAGAGGGAGACCCCUACCAUUUCCCGGUGGAAUCACCCUGUGGGAAGCCUAAAGCUCUGUGACAGAGCCCUAAGCAAGACCUCAGCGCUCCCUACACAGUCCUUACUAGAAAUGGGAAAGACUUUCUUUCCCAUUCAUCUUGGGGCCACCAUGAAUCUUAAGCUCCAAGGGAGAAGAAUCUCCUUUAUUAAUGAGGGCUCUUCCCCAUGGCAUCAAACUCAUAAAUAAAUCCACACUAAGCACCUCCAGAGAACAUGCAGCUUUGACAGAAGCAAAGUGAGUUAAGUGGGUGGACACCAGCUUGCUGAAACCUAAACCCAGCAAAGGGGCAGCAGCUCCACCUGCUGGGCCCUUUCCCACCAUCACCAGGAAUCAGUUCCUUCUAAAUACAGG
rnacentral:lncRNA from 1 species